UACAGAGGUCCCAAGCGUUGUUCGGAUUCACUGGGCGUAAAGGGUGCGUAGGUGGUGAGGUAAGUCGGAUGUGAAAGCUCGGAGCUCAACUCCGAAAUGGCAUUGGAAACUACCUUGCUCGAGGGUUGGAGGGGGGACUGGAAUGCUUGGUGUAGCAGUGAAAUGCGUAGAUAUCAAGCGGAACACCAGUGGCGAAGGCGAGUCCCUAGACAACUCCUGACACUGAGGCACGAAAGCUAGGGGAGCAAACAGG
rnacentral:rRNA from 1 species